rnacentral:rRNA from 58 species
UGCGACCCCAGGUCAGGNCGGGACUACCCGCUGAGUUUAA